AUGCAAGUCGAACGAACUCUUCGGAGUUAGUGGCGGACGGGUGAGUAACACGUGGGAACGUGCCUUUAGGUUCGGAAUAACUCAGGGAAACUUGUGCUAAUACCGAAUGUGCCCUUCGGGGGAAAGAUUUAUCGCCUUUAGAGCGGCCCGCGUCUGAUUAGCUAGUUGGUGGUGUAAUGGACCACCAAGGCGACGAUCAGUAGCUGGUCUGAGAGGAUGAUCAGCCACAUUGGGACUGAGACACGGCCCAAACUCCUACGGGAGGCAGCAGUGGGGAAUCUUGCGCAAUGGGCGAAAGCCUGACGCAGCCAUGCCGCGUGAAUGAUGAAGGUCUUAGGAUUGUAAAAUUCUUUCACCGGGGACGAUAAUGACGGUACCCGGAGAAGAAGCCCCGGCUAACUUCGUGCCAGCAGCCGCGGUAAUACGAAGGGGGCUAGCGUUGCUCGGAAUUACUGGGCGUAAAGGGAGCGUAGGCGGACAUUUAAGUCAGGGGUGAAAUCCCGGGGCUCAACCUCGGAAUUGCCUUUGAUACUGGGUGUCUUGAGUAUGAGAGAGGUGUGUGGAACUCCGAGUGUAGAGGUGAAAUUCGUAGAUAUUCGGAAGAACACCAGUGGCGAAGGCGACACACUGGCUCAUUACUGACGCUGAGA
rnacentral:rRNA from 1 species